rnacentral:lncRNA from 1 species
AGUCAUGCAAAGACACCCUCCCAAAACAUCAACAUCAAUUUCAAAACUCUCAUUACUAUUAUGAACAUCAGGAAGAGGAACCACAUUGAAAAUUUCAAGUGUUAGGUUAAAUGCAACAAUUAAAGAAGGAUGUAAUCCACCAAGUUUCUUUGUCAUUAUCCAGUGAAGAGAAUUCUCAACAAAAACCCCCAUGAAUUGAGCAUAGAUAAGAGAGUACGGCAUACUGGGAAUUAUUUUCCACGAGUUUGUUAUAGAGCUGAAGAGUCUGACAUGUGAAUCAUAAAAAGAGUUGUGUGGAGAGGCUAACCAAGAGAUUCUGAGGAGUUUGUAAUCGCCGGUUAAAGGAUCAAAACCGAAACCAUGAACGCAUAAGCAGCAGCGAUUGAUGUUGUCGGAUUCCAUAAUGUCAGGGAUAGGAAGAGGUAGGAAAGGGAUCAUACGAUGCUUACGAGUGCUAGGGUUCCAGAUUGUGAUUUCGUUGGGGUUGUUAGGAUGAUUGAAAGCCAGUUGGCCGUGGGAGAUGGCGAGGAGGCCGUUACAGGAACCGAUAAGAGCCAUGGUUCUGGUUCUAUUACGUGUGACAGGAGUGAUUUUGGUGGUGAAAGGAUGGUUGAGUGGAAUCAUCAUGGAUUUAGAGAAAUCAUCAUGAUCAUCGAUUUGGAGUUGGUAGAGAUCGAAUUUGUGUUGAAUGAUUAAGGAUCGACUGAGGGAAUUUUUGAGAUGAAGGUUGAUGAAGUGGUGAGAAUCGAUUAUGGAUUUAAGUGAUUUAGAAGUUGAUCGGAAUUGGAGAAGUGAUUUUACCGGUAAGCGGGAGAGGAUUUCCUCCAACAAUUCCGGCGGAGGAACAUCACUCGCCAUUGGAAGGAAGGUUCGUUCUAGGGUUGUGUGGUUCUUCUGCGUUUAGGUUUUAGUAUUUGUUGAUUGAUUGUCACCAUCCACUAAUCAUUCUGCUACUGCUACCAAGAAAUAGAGUGAGCGUUGUUUCCUUCAUCAAAUGUGUAAGUUGUGUGUGUUAAACAUCAUGCUUAAGGAAGUUGAUGUCAAGUCUUUACUAUUAUGCGUUGGUUAUUUUUAUUUUAGUAACUGCUCUUCACUUUUUAUUACUCCAUUACUUAUGGUAGUUAUUGGAAUUAUUUUUUCUUUUAUUGAAAAUUCUAGCUGUAAUUAUUGGUAGCACACAACUUCAUAAAAAAUCACAUGAAUUUUGUCACGAAUAAGUUUAAAUGUAUAUUCACGAAUUAAGUUUAAAUGUAUAUUUAGAAUCAAGAUGAGUUUCACAUAAAUACCAUAAUUUUUUUGAAACUUAAGAUGUAACUUUUGUUAAAAGCACAACGGCAAGGGGUGAUUCUAACAAACUCAUUUGCAAUCCAAACAUGCACUUAAUGUUCUCAUAAUUGCAGCAAACAAUUAUAUAAAAUGAACCAAAAAUAGAACUGCUAAACCAUUCCUCUACCAACUUGUACAAUCUUUCAUCUCUUGUACUUGCAAACAAAUGAUCAUUUCAUGACACAUUAUCAUUUUAAGUCAAAAUUAAAUGGUCAUAUUCAACCAUGUGCUAGCCAUGAAUGUGUUUUACACCAAGAAAAAAAUGGUUAAUACAAACAUGUUAAAAAGCCAUGCUCUAAACAAAUAUGGGAUGGUACCAAUAAGACAUCGAUUCAUAUGACAUGUCAAAGUUCGAAGUAGUUAGCAUGAGCCACCAGGCCUUUAAGAAACCGAUCCAAUACAUCGAAUCACUAUUCCUAAGACCUCAUUCUUUUCCUUCUCUACAACUGGAUUUCCCAUUUCUAACAUCAAAGUUGCAUCGAAACAUUCGGAGCCUCGACCUUCUGCUACUCGCAAUCUAACCAAUCUGUAAGAUAAAACACCUCCCUCCUCGCCAGUUACCACAUCACCAGCACAACUUCUGGUUAAAAGUUUCAAAAGUAUCACGCCAAAACCUUAGACAUCUGACUUGAAGGAAGGCAUUGGCUUCUUUGAAGCAGCUAACUCGUGUGCGCAAUAACCUAAGACACCAUAAGAGAAAAUCUAUUCAAUAGUAGUACCAGCUUGAGUCAUAAGUCGGUCAAGACAAUAAUCGCAACCAGUGCAUUCAUAUCAGUGGUAUCUAACAACACAUUUGCAGAUUUUAAGGUUUCCAUGAGGAACAGCUCGGUCGAAAUGGAGAUAGUCAGUCCACGUGCUACAUCAACUGCUACUUUGAGCUUGUGUGCCCAUGUCAAUUGUGGACCGUUUCUUCCUGAUCAAUCUGAGAAUUAGAAUUUAACAGCAAGUUCAAACUUCAAAUAUUAACAAUAAUAACAAACAGAUAUAAUGAAUGAGAAGUUCCGAAACAUGUACGCAGCAUAAGCAAAAUUGAUUUGCAUUUCUAUUAUUAUAUGCACAUAAGUGCACUACACACCAGAGACACAAAUACAAUGCACUUUUGCUUGAGAGACAAUCUUUCGAUCAAAAUCUUCUAGAAAUCAUUGUUGUUAAAAUCUCAAUCCUAAUCCUAAAAUCCUAAAAUUUUGCAAUUUGGUUCUGACUUACCAAUCGAAAUCCUGAGUAGAAUCCUAAAGACCUAAACUACGCAAAAUCUUUUAAAAAUCGUUUAUAUUUAAGUGAUAUUGCGAUUUUGCUCUGCCUUAUAAUUGGCGCAUUUGUGAUGUGAUGUUGGCUUGUAACAUCUAUAUUUUGAGUAUUUAUAUUUAAGAUUUGAGACUUUGAGCCGUCUAUGUUUAAGCUUUGUCACUAAUUUGUUUUACGUUUAAGAUUUGAGACUUGGUUGUUUUAUAUUUGCUUUAAAAUUCAAACUUUAAGCAGUUUGUUUAUGCACUUUAUAGUAUAUAUUUAAUACUAUUUGAGAACCUUCGAUUUUGCGAUCUUACUAUCACCUUCUGAUUCUACACAAUCUCAUGAGUAGAAUCCUUUGAUUUUGAUUGCGAUUUUAGGUGUUGUGAUCUUGCUAUCACCUUUCGAUCUGAAGCAAAAUCUCGACAACCUUGCUGGAAACCAAAAAAUAAAUCAAAGAAUCAAUUUGGUCUGACUUACUUUUAACUUCUCUUUAAAAGAAGUUAUGCCAAACAAUAUUUUUAAAAAGAAGCCUUGUCUUUCAUGUAUAAAAAUUCGAUAUAAUGAAAUUUUCAAAAAAAAAAAAUGUUGAGAGGAAUUUUGUAAUAAUCAGAACUUUGAUAAUGUUAUCUAUCUUUUUAUUUAACUCAGAUUCUAUCAUUCUAUCAAAAUAAUAUUUUUAUUUAAGCUAAGAAACAAGAAUUAUUACCAAACAACUCUAGUUUUCUCCACUCUUUCUCUCAACAACAACCAUUAUCCAAAGUUGUCUUGUAAGAGGUACCGUGACUACUUCUUCCCAAAAAUUCGGCUGUUGCCCGUCAUAGCUCCUAAAGUGUCAGUGAUAUUGUAUCAUCAUCAAAAUUUAGCUCUCCAAUCAACCUAUCCGAUGACCUCGUAUCUAGUCUUGUAAGAUACUCAGCAGUCAAUGAAUCACGAGGACCAUGAAAAGUGGUUGUGUUUUGACGGAGAGAAUCCAGCUACAACUGCAGUUUUUUCAUCAUGGCGAAGUAUUUCUCAUGGUGAUCCUUUACGUGAAGCCACGAGAUCCUCAACUAAUACAACCAAAGGACCCCCACUCUCUGAGGGACGAAUCGGUCCAGAGAUUCCUGGAAAUGUAUGAAAACAGCCGGUAAGAUUGGCACUGUGAUUGUUACUUUAACAGCUGUGGACAUAGACUUCCCCUUGGAACUUUUGGUAGGUGAAACGAUUGAUCCAUAUGACUAUUUGGAAAAUGUAACUUAGCAUUCCCAGGAAAGAAAGAAGAACUAGGGAUCUUUCUAAGAAUUUCUGGUACAACUCCAGAUAUAUCAUUUCCAGAAGCAUUGAAGUCUUUGAGUCCCUUUGGCAUGUUAUUUGGAAGUGGACUGGUAAAACGAUUAUUUGAUAUAUCAAGGGAUUCUAAAGAGCUCAUUUCAGCAAUAGUAGUUGGAAGAGAACCAACAAAGUUAUUUCCAGCAAUGUUGAGCACUCUCAGGCUAGUUAAUGAUCCAAACUCAUCAGGAAAAAAGCUACUAAGUUGGUUGUAAGAAAGAUCAAGAACUUGAAGAUGAGAUUGGUCAAGAGAGACGAUAAAUCGAUGCCACCAUUAAUCAAAUUAUUUUUAAGAUGGUGCUCUUGUAAUGUUGGCACUGUGAAAAAUUUGGUUAGAAGAAUGCCUUUUAAUUGGUUGUAACUGAUAUUAAGCACUCUAUUUUUGGAAGGUCGUUCCUGAAAUGAUGAAUCACAAAAACUGAGGUGUUGCCUCAGGGAUGUUCCCUGCCAAACGAUUACCAACGGGAUUGAGAUAUUCUAUGUUCCUCCAUUUCAGCACCCUGGUUAAAUUUCCUUCAAAUUUUGUAAUUCGACGGAUCAAGGACGGCGCAACUUCCAGUCAGCAGUGGCAGCCCACCGUGAAGCCAUUCGACGAGAAAUUCAGAAAGAGAAGUGUUGUCAAUGUAAUCAUACACGAUGGCCCUGAAAGAAAAUUUUCAUCAUUAGAUUAAUAGAAAUUGAAUCUGAGCACUCGUAUAAGUUGGAUUAUUUAUUUCGAGGAAAAGAAAAAUUGGAUUUAAUGAAUCUCCUUGAGAGAUUUUUGGCACUCGAAUCAAGUUCAGUUAAAACCAAAGAAUCUCCAUUAAGUAAGCCAUCAGGAAUAAAUCCUAAAAUAUGUUGUUGUUAAGCUUAAGGAUUUGGAUAUCAUUAACAAAAUCAAAUCCAGGUAAUUCUCCAUUCAAAUGGUUAUAGCUGAGAUCCAACACCUUCAAUUACAAAAUAAAUGAAAUUAUAAAAAAUAAAUACUGAUACUGGUACAAUACAUGUAAUUGUUAUAAUCUAUGUAGUCACAAAAAGUAGCUUUCGCGCCAUGGCAUUGACAUUUAUGCUUUUGUUUAAUAACAAAAUGAACUACCAGCAAUUUACGAUUAGAAUAAUUCCUAUACUGAAAUUUUGUAUCACCACCAAACAAUCGUUAUAUUUGUUAGCUCAGGUGAUUCAAUAGACCAAAACGUAGAAGAAUAAUUCAAAAAUCAUCUUUAUACACGAGGAUGUAAUAAACUCUGCAUGUGUAAUACGUGCAAUAUGAUCAUAAGGUUAAUACAAACGGUUUUCUAAUUCUAACUUGAUGAUAAUUUCAAAAUCAACAAGUAGAGAGUGAGAUCUUUGAAUUUAAUUGCAGAAAGUAGCAAGUAGAGUUUCAAUGCAGAAGUAGCAAGUAGAGAGUUUCAAUUACAAAUAUCAUAAAGGCAAAUAUGGACUAUUCCAUAUUUUUCUCAACAGUACUAGAAGUAAAAGAUAAAAGCAGAUCUUUUUAGAAAGGCCAAAGGGGGAUGAUUCAUCAUCAAAUUCUUCACACCCCAAACAUGAGGGGUAAGUGUGAUCUCAGACAUAAUUCAAAAUGAGAUAAAAAUGAGUGCAGCUCCAUUCAUUAUCCAUUCAACCUAUCGCACAAACCAAGCAGACUAAUUCCAUCACAAGAAACAACUUGAGUAUCCUGUAUCAGCUGCUGCACAUCACAGGUCCUUCCUUCUAUCCCUUACAACCUCAAUUUAAAUCCUCGGGACAAGAAGUCGUCCCUGUGGAAAGAAAAACUGAAUCUCAUCGAAGUAAGUUCAACAAUAUCACAAAAGAAUAGUUGAUAAAAACCAUGCUUUUGAAACUUAAGAGUAAUUUCAUAGUAGGCCAAUUUCUCAACAACUUUCUUCUCUUUACAUACCACGGCAGUGUGGAAUAGUCUCAACAUUCAGAAAUAAGUUGGUAAAAAAAAUUAUUUAGGAGUGAAAAUCUCAAACAAUGAAUAAAAAGGAAAAAAACCAAAUAAUACCAAAAUUCUUUUUUUCAGCAAAUUCUUUAGCCAAGUGUGUUUAGAGAUUCAUAACAAAAUAUAGACCAAAUUCUUCUUAGGUACAUACUCAAUAUUCGCAAGCACCCUUGCACUCUAGUACAACUAGUUUAGCCUCAAUUUACUAUUUACUUCUAAAUAGUAUCUACAACACUUUGGUACAUAUUCAGUCACUGAAGCCCUCAUUCCUUGGUUUCAAAUCACUUAACAUUCAUUUACAUAAUAAGAUUACAAACAGAAUUGCAAUGGAAUAUCAUAAAAAUUUCAAGAAAACAUUACUCAUUUCAAGCUUCGGGUGCAACCACUUAGUGCACCAAACGAUAAUUAAAUCCUCCAAACAUAAGUAUUUUAACAAGCAUUUAGAGUAAACUUCCUAACCAAAGCCAACAGCAAUUCAGAAUGCAGCAGCAAACACCAUUACAUGAAUUUGUGUAAAAUAUAGUAGAUUAGUUUAUUUGCUUCGUGCUCCUAAGUUGUGACGAAUGUAGGUUAGCUUUUAUAAAUCAUUCUUAGACUUUUAUUACCUCUCUUCUACCUUCCCUUAGAGGCAAGCUUCAAAAAAGUAUACAAAAUAAGUAUAUUUUUUUAUUUCGCUUCAUUUUUGUGUGUUGUCAUUUACCAAAAUUGGGUUCGACUUUCAUAACUCAAUUCACUCCAUUUGAACAAGCAUGCGAACAUAUUUUCUGAAGAAUCCAACAGCAAGAAUGUAGACUAGUAGCCAAACACAAAGAAACAAGGUUCAAUUUCACAUGACUGGACAUAAACAAACUGCCAUUUGCUGGCUACUAAAUCAUUUGUUAAGGCAACUUCUCCAUGGAAAUUAGUAUAUAGAACAGUUAGGUGUGUUUAAAGUCUCGCCAAAAACAAAUAUAUAAAUAUAAUUCAAAGCAUAAAGGUAUACAAACAUCCAAAUAUGCAUAUAAUGGCAAUGUCAAUGAGGUAAUUUAAAAUCAUCUAGAAAAAGAUACGUUCAAGAUAAACAAAGAGAAGAACACACUUAUCAAAAGAAAGAACAAUAAUGAAAGUGAUUUUUUCAUUAGGGUGAGGCAAGUACAUAAAAUGACAUGAUGCAAAGAGAAUAAUUUUCUAUCACAUAGCAUACAUUGCUGUCAAUUCAUACCAGAAUCCACACUUAGCAAAUUCUUACUUUCAUGCAUAGCUUACAUUGUUGUCAAUUUUUUGUUUCUUUUAGCAUACACACAUUGUCACAAAUACGUAAACAAAUCCACCAUACAUACAUUGUCACAAAUACGUAAACAAAGGUAGAGACUUCAAAGUAAUUAGAGAACUAUUAAGAAUUCAAUUUGACCUUUAGCAUAGAGUUUAACUUCAUAUAUCAUAUGACGGGUCCAUUGAAUUGACAUCAACUUAUACAUAGCAAAAACUCAAAAAACUCAUAAUCAAAAGAAGUACCUUCUCUUGCUCUUGCUUGUACGAUUCUCCUUCUUCCUAGAAUUAUCAACAGGGAAGGAAGGUGGUACAAGACUUCCAACAGAAAACAUAACAUCAUGGAAAUCAGGAAUUCCUUCAACAUAACUAACUUGUGCACUCCUAAAAUCAUACAAAAACAGCUUCUCAAAAUCCACCCUCAACAAAACCUUUUUUCCAUCACUCAAAUAACCUAAAGGCCUCAAAGAUUUCAAAGGUAAAUGGAAACACGAUUUAACCAUAGUAAAAAGUUUACACCAACUAUCUCUAUAUCCAUAUUGUUUCAUCACCCAAACAUCAAUUUCAGUAGUUUCAUAAUUCAAAGUCAUGCAAAGACACCCUCCCAAAACAUCAACAUCAAUUUCAAAACUCUUAUUACUAUUAUCAACAUCAGGAAGAGGAACCACAUUGAAAAUUUCAAGUGUUAGGUUAAACGCAACAAUUAAAGAAGGAUGUAAUCCACCAAGUUUCUUAGUCAUUAUCCAGUGAAGAGAAUUCUCAACCAAAACCCCCGUGUUUUGAGCAUAGACAAGAGCGUAGGGCAUAGCAGGAAUUAUUUUCCAAGAGUUUGUUUUAGAGUUGAAGAGUCUGACAUGUGGAACAAAAGAGGAUCUUUCAUUUGGAUCGGCUAUCCAAGCGAUUCUGAGGAGUUUGUAAUCACCGGAUAAAGGAUCAAAACCGAAACCGUGAACGCAUAAGGAGAAGCGAUGGAUGUUGUCAGAUUCAAGAAUGUUAGGGAUAGCAAGAGGUAGGAAAGGGAUAAUACGAUGUUUACGGGUGUUAGGGUUCCAGAUUGUGAUUUCGUUGGGGCCGUUAGGGUCCCUAAAAGCGAUUUGGCCAUAGGAGAUAGCAAUGAGGCCGUUGCAUGAACCGAUAAGACCCAUGUUGCUGUUACGCGUGACAGGAGCAAUGUUGGUGCUGAAAGGAUGGUUGAGUGGAAUCAUGGAUUUGGUUAGAUUAGGAAGAUCGAGUUGGUAGAGAUCGGUAUUGAGCUGAAGGAUGAGGUUGAAAUUGAGGGAAUUAUUUUUGAGGUGAAGGUUAGUGAAGUUGUGGGAAUCGAUUAUGGAUUUAAGUGAUUUUGAAGUUGAACGGAAUCGGAGAAGUGAUUUUACCGGUAAGCGGGAGAGGAUUUCCGUUAACAAUUCCGGCAGAAGAACAUCACCCGCCAUUGGAAGGAAGGAAGGUUCGUUCUAGGGUUGUGUGGAACUGCUACGUUUUGGUUGAUUUAGGGUUUUAGUUUUUGUUGAAGUAAGUUUUCUAGCGUGCUUCACUUCUAGUACCCACUUAUUGCAAAAAUCUCAUCAACAUCGGUUUAAGCCCUCAUAAUACGCACGGUUGAUUGUCACCACCAUCC